CAGCCGCCGCGGUAAUACGAAGGGUGCAAGCGUUACUCGGAAUUACUGGGCGUAAAGCGUGUGUAGGUGGUUGUUUAAGUCUGUCGUGAAAGCCCUGGGCUCAACCUGGGAAUUGCGAUGGAUACUGGGCGACUAGAGUGCGGUAGAGGAUAGUGGAACUUCCGGUGUAGCAGUGAAAUGCGUAGAGAUCGGAAGGAACAUCUGUGGCGAAGGCGACUAUCUGGGCCAACACUGACACUGAGACACGAAAGCGUGGGGAGCAAACAGGAUUAGAUACCCGCGUAGUCCCUGUCUCUUAUAC
rnacentral:rRNA from 1 species